GAAACUGAAGGAUUGGUGGAACAUCCACACAGGAAUUCAAACAUUCCGACAUACACUUUCCACCUGCCCUACAAUUCCAUACAGCGUGACCCAGACCCAGCCUAGUUGUUCAAUUUGCUAAUUGAAUGACAUCAUUCUCAUCAUGAGUGAGAAGUUCUUGGUGGAUUAUUAUUGAGCGUCGGACGCCAGAAGAAAUUUUCGCCAAACCUCGAACGAAUCGAUGUGAGUAGUCUCUCUGUCGCCGUGCAUUGCUCAUGUCAGAGUGGUCCGGGCUCUUUUCAUUUUAUAAUUUGUGUAUUAUAAUGGAAGUGGGGCGUUUCAGUUGUGCGUAGUUCGAAUUUUGUGUUGAAAAGUGGGUGUUCAGAUCAUUAUACACGAAGUUGAAGAAUAAUAUUUGCCGUUAAUUAAACAUGGACAAAGGAGCACCACCAUCGUAUCCAGGUUAUCCUAUGCCUUCGGCUCAACAAGGAGCUCCACCCCCUGGAAUGAAUCCGUAUCCUGAUCUACAAGGUGCACCACAAACCGUACAGCCUCAAGCUGGUCAAGCACAGCAACCAACAGUUGUUGUGAUAGGCGGUUGUCCAUCGUGCAGAAAUGGCAUUCUGGAAGACGAGUAUGGGUGUUGCGCAAUUUGUCUCGCCAUCUGCUGUUUCCCUGUUGGUAUCGUGUGCUGCCUUCUAAUGAAGGAACGGAAAUGUUCCAACUGUGGGGCAGUGUACCACUAAUGACAAUAUCUCUGAACAUCGAAAAAUAUUCCAAGUGAUGCAACAGCACUCGAUGCCAGUAACAAAUGAAAUGGAAUCCAGAUCGAACAAUAGUUGCUUCACGUUUUUCUUUAUAGUUUCCUUAAAUUUAUGAGGAACGUUGUUGUUCACGAUUUUGCAUUUCAAAGAUAAUAAAAAAUAUCUUAUUCCUUUUAUGAUAAGUAAGAGCAUAUUAUAACUUCUAUUUUGAUAUAUCGCCAUUUGUUUUUUUAUGUAUCACAACAAAGUUCUUGUAACCUAAA